rnacentral:rRNA from 1 species
AUUGAACGCUGGCGGCGUGCUUAACACAUGCAAGUCGAGCGGCAGGCGCGGGAGCAAUCCUGGCGGCGAGCGGCGAACGGGUGAGUAAUGCUUCGGAAUCUGCCCUUCAGUGGGGAAUAACCAGUCGAAAGACUGGCUAAUACCGCAUACGAACUGAGGUUGAAAGCAGGGGAUCGCAAGACCUUGCGCUGAUGGAUGAGCCGAAGUCGGAUUAGCUUGUUGGUGGGGUAAUGGCCUACCAAGGCGACGAUCCGUAGCUGGUCUGAGAGGACGACCAGCCACACUGGGACUGAGACACGGCCCAGACUCCUACGGGAGGCAGCAGUGGGGAAUAUUGGACAAUGGGGGCAACCCUGAUCCAGCGACGCCGCGUGUGUGAAGAAGGCCUGCGGGUUGUAAAGCACUUUUAGUGGGGAGGAAGGUCUGCGACCUAACACGUCGUGGAAUUGACUUAACCCACAGAAAAAGCACCGGCUAACUCUGUGCCAG